AACGAACGCUGGCGGCGUGGAUAAGACAUGCAUGUCGAACGGGAUAACAUCUGUAGCAAUACAGGUGUUAUUUAGUGGCGAACGGGUGCGUAACACGUGGGCAGUCUGCCGAGAGUGGGGGAUAGCUCGCCGAAAGGCGAAUUAAUACCGCAUAUGAUCAGUGAAGACAUCUUCACGACAUCAAAGCCGGGGCAACCUGGCGCUUCUUGAUGAGCCCGCGGCCUAUCAGCUAGUUGGUGAGGUAACGGCUCACCAAGGCUAUGACGGGUAGCUGGUCUGAGAGGACGACCAGUCACACUGGAACUGAGACACGGUCCAGACACCUACGGGUGCAGCAGUCGAGUAAUUUUUCUC
rnacentral:rRNA from 1 species